rnacentral:rRNA from 1 species
CAGUCGGGCGGCAAGUUGGGGAGUAGUCUGAGACCUAGAGCGGCGGACGGGUGCGUAACGCGUAUGCAACCUGCCCCUUACCGGGGGAUAGCCCGGGGAAACCCGGAUUAAUACCCCAUAGGAUAACACUGUGGCAUCACGGAGUUAUUAAAGAUUUAUCGGUAAGGGAUGGGCAUGCGUAGGAUUGGUUAGUUGGCGGGGUAACGGCCCACCAAGACUUUGAUCCUUAGGGGUUCUGAGAGGAAGGUCCCCCACACUGGCACUGAGAUACGGGCCAGACUCCUACGGGAGGCAGCAGUAGGGAAUAUUGGGCAAUGGGCGGGAGCCUGACCCAGCCAUGCCGCGUGCAGGAAGAAGGCGUUAUGCGUUGUAAACUGCUUUUAUACGGGAAGAAAAGGCCCAUGCGUGGGACAUUGCCGGUACCGUAUGAAUAAGCACCGGCUAACUCCGUGCCAGCAGCCGCGGUAAUACGGAGGGUGCAAGCGUUGUCCGGAUUUAUUGGGUUUAAAGGGUGCGUAGGCGGCCGAUUAAGUCAGCGGUGAAAGUCUGUGGCUCAACCAUAGAAGCGCCGUUGAUACUGGUUGGCUUGAGUGCCGUAUGGGUACAUGGAAUUGAUGGUGUAGCGGUGGAAUGCAUAGAUACCAUCAGGAACACCGAUAGCGUAGGCAUUGUACUGUGCGGCAACUGACGCUGAGGCACGAAAGCAUGGGUAGCGAACAGGAUU